AGUUAUUGUAAUUAUGAUAGGAAAUCUCAGGGCAGCCACGAGCAGCACUCCAAGCAGUCCUUCCUUCCAGCCUCACCUCCAACUUUACGUAGCGUCGACGUAUAAGGCAACACUUGUUAUCACAUCAUGGCAAGUGAUCUGAUGGAACUAGGGUCGAGGUCGUUGAUCAGUGCCCUACAUAAACCUGUAGCGCCCCCUGGCUUGGAGUAUCUAGCUCAGCUAGACCAGGUUGCCAUACAACAAAUCGUUAAGAUGUGCGAGGUGAUGACUGCGUUAGAAUUCAAGAACAAGUACAUACUGAGGAACAGUGUGGGACAGGAGUUCUUGUUCGCUCAGGAGCACAGUACCUUCUGCAGCAGACAUUUCCUUGCCAACGUUCGCCCCUUCCAGACGGCCUUCACUAACAACUGUGGACAGGAAGUUAUGCGUCUCAACCGACCCUUGAAAUGCGCCAACUGCUGCAGCCCCUGCUGUUUACAGGUGCGCUGAGCGAUAGAC